GUUGGGUUCAUAACCCCCGAGCCAUUUGUGUUUUUUUUAAACUACUAAAUUUGUGAUCCUUUUUUAUAGCAGCAAUAGGAAACUAAUACAGAUUUUGGUACCCAAAGUGAAGUGUUGCCCUAGCAAAUACCUAAAAACAGAAUUGGCUUUGGAAUUUGAAUUUGGAAAUGGGCAGAAACUGAAAGAAUUUGAGGUGCAUGCUUAGAUUGCCUUGAACGCUUUUCCUCUGAGCAGUGAGGGGCUGGGAAUGGGAGUGGGGAACUCUCCACAGCCUAGAGACCUGAGCUACCCAGGCCCCCUAGUGUUGGUCCUUUCUUGGAAUGAGAGGACUAGGAGACUGCCCAGGGUGGGCCUAGAGAGCCUGGCUUGGGCACUGGGAGCGAGUAGGGAAUGGAUUGGGAUCUAGAGGCAAGAGCAAAGCUGGCUUCCAUGGCCCAACUCCAGGGGCAUGGGAGCCACCCAGCCCCUUGGAGAGGAUCUCAGAGCCUGGAUCUGAGCCUGGUCCUGGCUUCCACCCCUGGAGCAUGUGAGGAUGAGCAGGCGCCAUGUCUGUGAAAUGAGCCACAGCAGUGCCCGAGUCCAAGCUAAUGGACCUAACCCAUCCAUGUAAGCCAUGGAGGUUUGGCUCCUACCAGCCCUCAGGCAGUGCCUAGCUCCUGCUAUGGGCCUCAGCUGGGCUGUGUGGCAGGAACAAAUUGGGUCAUUCCUGGGAUUCUCAGUGUCAUGGUCCCCAAAGCUGAAGUGGCUAACUGGAACCUUUGACCCUAUAUCCCUGGCCAGGAUGGGACCAGGACCUCAUUCCAGAGGAGGGAUGUUCAGUGGCUCUGGAGGCACUAUCCCACCUGGCCAAGAUCUGGGGCUCCUAAAGCCACAGCCCCAACUCAGGAGCCACAUGAAGAACUACUGGGAGCAUAGACAUGGGAUGAUGUGCAUCAUGCUUGGUCUGAAGACUGAGAAUCUGGGGGAUGGACAGUGUGGACACCUGAAUUGAAGGGACAAGAGAAGCCUUAUGCCAAGCUCAGCCCAAGCCCAGUUUUUUGGACAUAUAGAACCAGGAAGGCUCUGAGAUUUCAUCCAACUUGCAAGCUAACAAGUUACCAUAUUCCUGAGGAUGCUGGCAGAAGAUACAAGACUAUUGCUUGAGAAACAAAGGCUGGAGAGACCUGGGAAAACUCAAGCUCCAGGGAGAUUCCCAAGGGUGCAGUGGGUGCCCAACAGAGGCAUGAAUAAAUGGUGGAAAAGUUAAGGAAGACUUCUCAGAAAAGAAGCAUAUGAUUUGGACUUUGAAGGGUAAGAGGAAGAAGGACAUUUCAGGAUGAAUGACACUGCGUGGAGGGCUAUUUGGAGGGAAAGAAUGGAAUGGCUUAGUGAUUUGGGAAGCUAUGCAUUGGAGCCUGGGGUAAGGCACAGGCAAGGUAUGGGGGGAGCCUGUAAGUAUCACUAAAUGAGGAAGGCCUGACAAGAGUGGGUUUGCAAGCCCCUCACUCUGGAGCCGGUGGUAGGGCUGAGGGGGUCAAUGAGAAGGCCAUCAGGAUGAUCCAUUCAGGUUAGCGAGCAAUGGUAAGGUUAGAUCUGGACAAUGCAGCCAUGGGAGCAGCAGGAGAGCAGCUUGAGAAGGACUUAGGUGCUGGAGACAAAUGUGGAGAUCAAUAGGCUGGGGAGAGCAUGUCGGGGUUGUCUCCAAGAUGGGGGAGAGUGGAGGCAUGUCUAGGGGGCAGUGAAGAAUCCAGCUCUGGACAGAAGAAGUCUGGGGGGACUUGAAUGAAGCUGUCCAUGUUGUCAAGCCAGAAGACAUCAGACUCAAGUUCAAGAGUUCUAGGGUGAGGGGGACAAGCCCCCAGCUUGGGAUUCCAAGCCAUGGGUUCCAGCCUCAUAUGUCCACUUCCUCUCUGGGUGACUGUGAACAAGCUCCCUUCCCUCUCUGGGUGUCAGGCUGCAGCUUUGAAAUGAGACAGACUUGCCUCACCUCCCUCACCUAUGACUCACCUCUGAAAGCAUAGACCAGUGAAGGCUGGAAGAAUAAGAAGCCUGAGGGAGACUCAUCCUGCAGGUGUGGGCAAGGGUAGCAGAUGGCCUAAUCUCUACUAGAGCUGCAAGAGAAGUUGCUAGAUGCUGGGCUUGUCCAGCCUCCACCCCAGCCCAUGCAGAGGCCAGACAAAGGGUCUGUUCCUCAUAACGAGAACCCAAGGCCUUGGUUGGCAAAUGAUGUCUGAGGAUGGAAAGCUGGGUUGGGAGGGCAAAUCCAAGUUGGUGGGAUGAGGGGUUGCUUAGAGCUCCAGGGAGUUCCAGCCAGCUCCCCUGCAGCCCCCGUGGGGACCUCAAGGGACUUCAGCACCUGCCCAGCCCAGCUCUCAAACAAAAUUAAAAUGAUGCACAAGGAAUAGUUAGAGUGACAGUUGUAGCACCUGCUGAGUUGAACCCUCUCAGGCUCCCCUCAGCAUCACCUCAUAAAUCCUUCUGGGCCCCCUGUGUCCCCUCUGAGAGACAUGCUGUCACUUUCCCCAUUUCAUAGCUAAGGAAUCUGCUGAGAUUAGUGAAGUUGAGGGAGACCCCCCAAAACCAAGUGCUUAGCACAUAAUCCAGACUGGGAGGAGAGGGGGUAAAACCAGAGGGUGGGGGGACAUGCUAGCCAGGAGGGAACCUGCUGUCUUAAGACUGAGAUGUGGGAGCCCCAGUCUCCUGCUCUGGAGUGACCACUGGACUGGCCCCUCCGGCAGCUGGCUGUGGAUCCUGCCUAACCUGGGGCGGGUGUAUGUAUGGGAGGGUGGCGCCCAGGUCCUGCCAUCAGGGGUCGGGAGGAUACAUUCAUCAGAAGAGGCUGUUGAAUUUCUGGCAAAGCUCUAACCUGCUUUAUAUUAAAACUGGUCUAACAGGUUGUUAUGACAGGACAACCCAGGCCUGUGCAGACUCCACUUCUCCUGAAGGAAGAGGGCCUUUGUGAGUCCCCAGAAUCCUCCCGCUUCUGGAUCAGGGCUUAUUUCAAGUUCUUUGCCCCUCUGCUUCACCAGGCAGCUGUGCAGGGCAGGAGGGUUCCCAUCUGAGAGUGGAGCCAGCCCAGCCAUGCCCCUAGCCCUGUUCAGACUCAUGUUUGGCCUUGGUCCAGGAAGAUUUGCUUAUUUGGCAGAUUUGAAGCUGAUCCCGAGUGCAGGGGGCCCCAGUGAUUUUGGGGUGUUAGGACACUUGAUAAUCAUGGGGGAAGCAUCCCAGCAAGACCUCUCCUUGAUAAACAAGAGAAACCUGGAUGGCCUAAUGGCAUCUCUGCCCUGGAGUUGUACCAGAGGGGUGUUGUGAGUCCAAGGAAGGACACCAGUCUGCAACCCCACCUCCCUGUGGCCUGGCAGGAUCCUCUAGGACCCAGCCCCCAGUCCCAACCCCUGCCCCUGCCCCUCUCCUCCAAAAAGCCCUCCUGAAUUGCCCCAGCCCUUCUUCAUGCCCCCAGCACCUUGUGAGUGCCAAGGCUUUAGCAUGCCAGCCCGUGGGAGGCGGAGCAGAGUGGCAGUUACACCAACAAGAUCUCGAGUCAGGGUUUGAAUCCCGACUCUGCCCCUCACAAGCUGCGUGGACCCUGAAAAAGCCAUCACCUCUUUCUGAGUCUUACCUCUUCUGCUAUAUAAAUGGGGACAACCUCUGCUGGUUUGCCAGGCUGCAGCGAGAACUGAUGGGGCACAAACCCCACCCAGGAUCACCAACUUGCAACCCUUGCCUUCUCUGCUCUCCACCAUACCCUACUCUGCCCUAUCCCAUGCCUUUCAACCUCCUUUCUGGUCUCUGGCCCGCAAGCCCUCAAGGGGCCUUUCCCAUCCUACUGACAAGUUCACCCCUUAGAAAUGAGAAUCAGGGAAUUAGAAUAUCCCUGCUAAACUCUGAAGAGGUGCUCCACCACACCAGAACCCAGUCCAUGCACCCCCUUCACCCUUUCCAUCCAUUCUCUGUCUCCACAGCCCUCUUGGGCAGCCCUCCCAGAUCCUUACUCCCGGGCACCCGAGGUUUGUUCCUGCCUUGGGGCCAUUGCACUGGCAUUUCCUUCCACCUGGGACAUCCUUUCUCUAAGUUGUCUGUGAAGCCAGCUCCUGCUCUUUGCUCAGGUGUCCAGGUUCAGUGCCAGCCUGCUCCAGAGCUCUCCCUGAUCCUCUCAUCUGCAGCCGGUGCCCCACAUGCAAAGCCGCUCUCUUCUCUGCCCCUUGCUUUGCUUCCACUCUCAAAACUCAUGAGCGCCCAUUCGUUUACUUUUAUUAUCUCUCACCCACCAGCCCAUGAGCCCCACAAGGAUGAGGAAUGUGUCCACUGUUCCCUGCUGUGUCCCCAGAGCCUCAAUGGAGUUGGUGCCCAAAGAGCAGGUAAAGGACUUAAUCGGUAAAGGGUUACCAUCAGCUAUUGUAUGUAUGUUGUUCAGGGUCCUGUGAGCCCACCAGUGCCGGUAGGUGUGCUCCUUUCACCAACCCAGAACCACCUAGAGGUAACUGCAGUGACGAGAGGAUUUUCGGCAUCUGUUAGACUGGGUCUCUGACUUGGGUCUGGGGCCCAGUGACAUGCUCUCCACUGAUUCUGUUCUAAGGAGGUAUCACUUACUCCCUUGAUAUGGAAACAGGAGAAAAAGAUUGAAGCAGAAGAAGAGCAGGGGUCAGAAGUAGCAGGUAGCCCCUCCUCAAGCAAGAGCUGGACCUUGGCUUAGGCCGAGGGAGGGAGAAGGGGAUAGGACCCUGUUGGCCAGGCCAAUGGCUCUAGAGACCUUAGCAGGCAGGGACACAAGGGGAUAAAAACAGCAUCCAAGAACAACUCGCCUAAAACCUGCUCCCCCAUCCCCCACCCUGGCCCACCUGCCAUCCUUGCCACCUCAUGUAGCAGUGCCAGGGCUCAUGAGUAGUUAGUACCCCAUGGGGUCAGCUCGGCUCUGUGCCUCACCUCCUCAGCUAGUCCCUCGCCUUCUCUGGGCCUCAGUUUCCUCAUCUGUGAAGUAUGGAUAAUGUUUAGAGGGUUGUGGUGAGUAUUACUUGAGGUGUAAAGCCCUUGUCUAUUGACAGUACCUGGUGGACACCCCAAGACAUCUCCCCUCUGUAGACAAUGAAGGGCCUCCUCUUGUUUUCUGUCUGGGCCAUGCUACCAGGUGGGGAAUAGCCUGCCUUUGGCCCCUCUGUGUCUACUGCCUGCAUACUGGGUGACUCAGAUCUGGGGGUGGAACAGAUGGACUGGUCACCUCAAGCAUUCUCGGAGUUACAAAGGGGCUGAGAUCCAGGGUGAAGCAAUGAGGAACUGAAGACAUCCCUGGCAGGGCCAUGGUGACCUGGGGGAGGUGUGUUGUCGGCCCUGGAGCCAGCAUUGGAGAGGGUGCCAGGCAGGACACAUGGGCCUGGGAACCACUCUGGUAAAGAUAGUCCUCACCCUCCUCUUUCCCACACUCACCAAAAAUCAGCACCAUUCUUUGCCACAACUAUUUCCAUGCCCCCAAGUUUCUGUGCCUCCAGAGUUCUUGCUUUAUAUCCUUUCCUGCCUCCUUGUCAUCGACAUGUCACUCUUCACACCUUCCUGCCUUCAGCUGCCAGCAUUUGCUUCUUCUAAUCUGAAACUUCUAAUUAUCUAAGGGCUAAGAAAAUAGGGUGACUUGAACUAUUUCUAAAGUAAAGGCUGGGAGUUCCCUGGUGGCUCAGUGGGUUAAGCAUCUGGCACUGUCACUGCUGUGGGUGGGGUUGAUGCUGUGGCGCUGGUUUGAUCCCUGGCCUGGUAACGUCCACAUGCCAUGGGUGUGGCCAUAAAUAAAUAAAUAAACUAAAUAAGACUAAAAAAGACUGUAAAUGAGGUUCAGGGGAGCUCUCCUGUGAAGUACUCAAAGGUGUAGAAAGUUUCAGGGCAUAGUGGGAGUCCAGGUGCCACAGUGUUCCCAAGUCAGACCAUCGGAUAAUGAAGAGUGUGUUUUCAUUUUAACUGCUCUUCCACUUACUUCUAGUAUGGCAGGACCUUGCGUGAGAGGUGAGAAUCCCCAAACCCCAACCAGCUUGGACCAUCAUCCCCAUCCAAGGCGAGACCCUGCCAGCUUUUUGGCCACUAUGGUCAACUCAAUUGUUCUGCCCCACUGCACAGAAAGACCUUCCCCAGGCCUCCUUGCAAUCGGGAAAGUGAGCCUCCCAGUCACACCCUGGUGCCUUUGCAUGCCCUGUACCUUCUCCCUGAAUGACUGGCCCUGACUUCUCUGACUGUUGGCCUUCUCAGCUCAAAAGACACUGUCCCCAGGAGGAGUCCACAGCAGCCUUUCCCCAGUAUUCUCCACUCUCAAGCUUUA